rnacentral:tRNA from 1 species
UCCGGCGUAGCUCAAUGGUGGAGCAAUCGGCUGUUAACCGAUCGGCUACUGGUUCGAGUCCAGUCGCCGGAG